CUACGGGAGGCAGCAGUAAGGAAUAUUGGACAAUGGGCGCAAGCCUGAUCCAGCCAUGCCGCGUGCAGGAUGAAGGACCUAUGGUUCGUAAACUGCUUUUAUACGGGACAAAACCCCCGGUCGUGCAUCGGGGUUGAUGGUACUGUAAGAAUAAGGGUCGGCUAACUUCGUGCCAGCAGCCGCGGUAAUACGAAGGACCCAAGCGUUAUCCGGAUUUAUUGGGUUUAAAGGGUGCGUAGGCGGAUUAGUAAGUCAGUGGUGAAAGCCUGCAGCUUAACUGCAGAACUGCCAUUGAAACUGCUUUUCUUGAGUGCAUUUGAAGUGAGCGGAAUGUGUCAUGUAGCGGUGAAAUGCUUAGAUAUGACACAGAACACCGAUUGCGAAGGCAGCUCACUAAACUGUAACUGACGCUGAGGCACGAAAGCGUGGGGAGCGAACAGGAUUAGAUACCCGAGUAGUCC
rnacentral:rRNA from 1 species